rnacentral:lncRNA from 1 species
ACUCUGCGCGCCCUCGGCUGCGGGGUAGCGGGCAGCCCUGCGCUGCCGGCCGCCUAGCCUGCACCCCCCGCCCUGGGAGGGAAGCCUCGCUCCAGCCGCGUCGUUUCCGCGCCGAAGUGCGAUCCGGGGCCCCGCGCUGGAGUCCCCUGCUCUCAGGUGGCAGUUGCUGGAGUACCAGGGCACCAAGUGGAGGAUGUGGUAGACAGCCUCUAAGAUGCGCCCCCUGCCAAUGAUCUCUGCCUCCAGGGAGGAGCUAGAAGGCAGAGAGAAAGCCACUCAGGACUUCCCAUCCCAGAAGAUAAAGGUGAGGAAAGCAGCAGCAGCAGCCACAGGCCAGUAUUCCAGAGCAGCUUUGGGUUCCUGUCAAGACCUGCUUUGAGAAGGAGGUGGCUGUGGGGCUGGAGGGCUGGGCCUGUUCCUGAGCUGGCUGCUGGCAGCACAGCAAUGAGGCAACAUUGAGAACUGCGACACGAGGCCCAGUCCUGCUACUAAACCAACUGUGUGGACUUGCAUAGUCACUUCACCCCUCGGGCCUCCAUUUCUCCACUUUGGAAAGCAGUGUUGGGACGAUGUUAAGGGUUUGCAACCUUCCAACAUGAAGACUUAUUUUUAAAAGCAAAACAUUUCAAAGAGUCCACAUGACAGUAGUGUUCAUUUUGGCAUCUGUUGAUUUAACAAAUACAAAAUUAGGCUGGGUGUAGUUGCUAACGCCUGUAAUUCCAGCACUUUGGGAGACCGAGGCAGGAGGAUCACCUGAAAUCAGGAGUUCGAGACCAGCCUGGCCAACAUGGUGGAACUCCAUCACUACCAAAAAUACAAAAAUUAGCUGGGCUUGGUGGCACGUGCCUGUAAUCCCAGCUACUCGGGAGGCUGAGGCAGGAGAAUCAUUUGAACCCGGGAGGCAGAGGUUGCAGUGACCUGAGAUUGCACCACUGUACUCCAGCCUGGGCAACAGGGCAAGACUCCAUUAAAAAAAAAAAUACAAAAUUAGGCAUGGUGGUGUUCGUCUGUAGUCCCAUCUAUUUGAGAGGUUAAGGCGGGAGGAUCACUUGAGCUCAGGAGUUUGAGUUUGCAGUGAGCUGUGGUCUGCCUGUGAAUAGCUGCUGCAGUACAGCUUGGGCAACAUAGUGAGAUUCCAUCUCUAGUCUUUAAAAAAAGGAAAAAUACGGCCGGGCGCGGUGGCUCACACUUGUAAUCCUAGCACUUUGGGAGGUCGAGGAGAGAGGAUCACCUGAGGUCAGGAGUUCGAGACCAGCUUGGCCAACAUGGCGAAACCCAUCUCUACUAAAAAUACAAAAAUUAGCUGGGUGUGGUGGCGCACGCCUGUAAUCCUAGCUACUCAGGAGGCUGAGGCAGGAGAAUUGCUUGAACCAGGAGGGAGAGGUUGCAGUGAGCCAAGAUCGUACCACUGCGCUCCAGCUUGGGCAACAUAGAGAGAUCCCAUCUCUAUUUUUUUAAAAAGGAAAAAUACAAGGGAUACCAGAGCACUGGGCCAGUGCUUGUUAUAAAGUCCAUCAAUGGGCCAGGCACGGAGGCUCACACCUGUAAUCCCAACACUUUGGGAAGCCGAAGUGGGUGAAUCAUGAGGUCAGGAGUUCGAGAUCAGUCUGGCCAACAUGGUGAAACCCUGUCUCUACUAAAACUUGGUAGUUUUUUGUAAAAUUAGCUGGGCGUAGUUGUGGGCGCCUGUAAUCCCAGCUACUUGGGAGGCUGAGGCAGGAGAAUCCUUUGAACCCCGGAGGCAGAGGUUUCAGUGAGCCGAGAUCACGCCACUGCACUCCAGCCUGAGUGAAGAGCGAAACUCCGUUUCAAAAAAAUAAAAUAAAAUAAAAAAUAAAAAAAUAAAGUCCAUCAAUGAUGCCAAUAUUAUGGAACAAAAUUUAAAAGCAGGGUGAUGAGUAAUGUUUGUUACUUUUUGGCUACUCAGUUUUGGAGUCCCUUCCCAGGUUUGUGGAAGAUGCCAUCUUAGGAGUCUUCGUGGAAGCUGGAGCCUGUUGCUUAGCCGUCAACAUAGAGGCUGAAAAUGCCAGAUGCUUCUCAGCCUCCUUUAGCUGCAGGGUUUAGUCAUGUGAUCUGGGCUGGGCCCAUCAGGUGCCAUGGACUGAGGAGCCUGGACCAAGCCAGAGCCCAACACAGAACCUUUUCUGGUGGAAGUGGCCAUGGCUACUGCAGCCUUGUCUAGAUUCCAGGGCAACAGCAGCAGGGUCAUGGUUCAGACCCCAGCCAUGGUUGUGGCACAGCUGCCCAGGGCUCUGAGAACAGAGCAGGACUCUCUGGAUAGCUUGUGCACCACAGUUCUGGCCAUGCUCCUGGCUGCUGUCUGGCACCGUUUGUUCUCAUUCAUGCCCUGAACCUGGCUCUUCAGCCUUCCCAGAGACUCUGUGGGCUGCCCAGCAUCCUUCCCAAAAAUCCCUCUUCUGUUUUAAAUUAUCCAGAGCCAGUUUCUGUUGCAUUUUUAAGUCAGAGUUCUGACCAAUUCACAGUCUUAUUUCAGUCUCCGCAUCCAACUUAUUUUUGUAUUUUGCUUUGGUACACACGGUUCUGAGAAAAUUCUAAUCAUACAGAUGGAUGGUUAUAAAUAAUAAUGAUAACAACUAUUACUGGCUGGGCACGGUGCCUCCUGCCUGUCAUCCCAGCACUUUGGGAGGCUAGGGCAGGAGGAUCACUUGAACCCAGGAGUUCAAGACCAGCCUGUGCAACAUAGUGAGACCCCAUCCCUACAAAAAAAAUUUAAAAAAUAGCCAGGCAUGGUGGUGCGGGUCUGUAGUUCCAGCUACUUGGGAGACUGAGGUGGGAGGAUUGCUUGAGCCCAGGAAGUUGAGACUGUAGUGAGCCAUGAUCGCACCACUGCACUCUAACCUGAGUGACAAAGCGAGACACAACAAUGACAGCCACAAAAAAACUAUUACAUAGCACUCACUAUAUGCCAGGCCCUGUCUUAACCA